rnacentral:lncRNA from 1 species
AGUGCUCCGCUGGGGCUGCACACAUCUGCCAGCCAGACUACCUUCGUACACAAUUACUCAAUCCACCGUAAGGCUCUUUAAUAGGAAACAAGUGUGACAACGGCAAGCCUCUUUUUUUUUUUUUCCUCCUCCCUCUUAAACCACAGAGUCAAAUAGCUCUAAUAGAGAUGAAGCUUGAUAGAUCCGCCCAGGUGUAGGUGAAAUGGUAGAGCCUCAGGGGUAAUAGAUGCUGUGCUCUCAUGCUGAAGUUUAGCACUUUGUCCUGACCGGCUCUCUAGCAGCAGGGCGAUGGGCUGCUCCUUGUACAGUUAACAAAGUCAACACGCUUCUUGCCGUUCACAUUGAUGCCUAAUCUGGAGGGCAACCUGGAGCUAGGACCUUUCAAGGGAAUAUUCCUGUCUUCU